rnacentral:hammerhead_ribozyme from 1 species
AUCUGGCUGACAAGUCCCAAAUAGCACGAAACGCACUUCCUGGAU